rnacentral:rRNA from 1 species
CCUACGGGUGGCAGCAGUGGGGAAUAUUGCACAAUGGGCGCAAGCCUGAUGCAGCCAUGCAGCGAUUAUUCCGCAGGCCCUCUUGUUUUAACGUACCUUCAGUCUUACGUGAGAAGUACAGGUUAAUAACCUUAGCAAUUGACGUUAGCGACAGAAGAAGCACCGGCUAACUCCGUGCCAGCAGCCGCGGUAAUACGGAGGGUGCGAGCGUUAACCGGAAUUACUGGGCGUAAAGGGCACGCAGGCGGUUAAUUAAGUUGGAGGUGAAAUCCCCGGGCUUAACCUGGGAAUUGCAUGCAAGACUGGUUAGCUAGAGUCUUGUAGAGGGGGGUAGAAUUCCAUGUGUAGCGGUGAAAUGUGUAGAGUUGUGGAGGAAUGCUGGUGGCGAAGGCGGCCCCCUGGACAAAGAUGUACGCUCAUGUGCGAAAGCGUGGGGAGCAAACAGGAUUAGAUACCCGGGUAGUC